CAAAUCCUCGUUGACAGACGAUCGGAGUGGAGUGAACUGAAGGCUUCAACAACGAAAACCAACCUGCGACGGUUCUUCGAGCAAACUGGAGGCAAAAUCGAGUGUUUUCGGAGAGAUCUCGAGCGUUCUUCUCCAGCUUUCGCCAACAACACGAACCUACUAACUUAUGCGCGACGGCGGUUAUGAUGGAGUACAGCAGUGAAGAAGAGUCAGAUUUUAGUGACUCAGAGAUCAAUGACUACGCUGAGAAACCAUAUGAACAGCUCAGGACUGGAAAGCUUGUUGUAAAAACAGCCAAUGGAAUUCUUAGAUGCCCGUUCUGUAUGGGCAAGAAAAAGCAGGACUACAAAUAUAAGGAUUUACUCCAGCAUGCUUCUGGAGUCAGUAAAGGCUCUAAAAACAGGAAUGCUAAACAAAAGGCCAACCAUCUUGCUUUAGCCAAAUAUCUGGAGAAUGAGCUUGCUUCUGAAGCAGACCAGACACAGCGUCCAACUCCACCAACUCCUAUCAGUCAGGAUUCUGAAAAAGAGCUUUAUGUAUGGCCAUGGAUGGGUGUUAUAGUCAAUAUAGAGGCAGGGGAGGACAGAAAUACAGUCUGCGAUUCAGCGUAUUGGAUAAAAAAGUUCGCUAAAUAUAGACCUUUAGAUGUGUAUAUUUUUUGGAAUGAUAAUGAACCGAAAGCUCAGGCCAUAGUUGAAUUCAACAAUGAUUGGAAUGGUUUUGUGAAUGCAACGGACUUCGAAAAGUUGUUUGAGACCAACGAUCAUAGCAAAAGGAAUUGGAAAACCAAGACUGAUUCAAGCUUGGAUAUUUAUGGUUGGUGUGCACGGGCUGAUGAUUAUAAUUCAAAUGAGCCUAUAGGAGAGUUUCUUCGACAAAGAGGGAAAUUGAGGACUGUCUCAGACAUCGUGAAUGAAGCAACUCGAAGUAGAAAUACUGUUGUGGAGAAUCUGACACAUGAAAUUGAUUUGACAAAUGAAAACCUGGAUGAACUACACUACAAGUACAAUGAGAAGACGAUGUCUUUGAGUAGGAUGCUUGCAGAGAAAGACCAGCUUCACCAAGCUUUUGUUGAAGAAACUAGAAAGACGCAAAGACUUGCACGAAAUAAUGUUCAAAGAAUAUUAGAAGAACAAGAAAACUUGCACCAAGAAUUGGAGGCGAAGAAAAAGAAACUUGAUUCCUGGAGCAAGCAAUUGAACAAACGUGAAGCAUUGACUGAACUUGAGAGACAAAAACUUGAUGAAGAGAAGAAAAAGAAUGAUAUGAGGAACAAUUCGCUCCAAUUGGCUUCUAUGGAACAGAGAAGGGCUGAUGAAAAUGUCUUACGUCUUGUUGAAGAACAGAAGAGAGAGAAAGAAGAAGCUUUAAGCAAAAUUCUUCAGCUGGAAAAGCAGCUGGAUGCCAAGCAGAAGCUGGAAAUGGAAAUUCAAGAAUUGAAAGGAAAACUACAGGUUAUGAAGCAUCUUGAGGAUCAAGAUGAUGAAGGAGUGCAACAGAAGAUGAAAGAAAUGGGUGAUGAUUUAGAUCAAAAGGUUGAGGAUUUGAAUGAUUUGCAGGAGUUGAAUCGAACACUUGUUACUAAGGAGCGUGAAAGCAAUGAUGAGUUACAAGAGGCCCGUAAAGAAUUAAUAAGUGGAUUGCAAGAUCAAUCAUCAAAUGCUCGUGUUAAUAUUGGAAUAAAGAGAAUGGGAGAUAUUGACAUUAAACCAUUCCAGAACACUUGCAAACAUAAAUUUUCUCCUGAUGAGGCAAUGGUGCAAGCCUCCACUUUAUGCUCCUUGUGGCAGGAUAAUUUAACGGAUCCGAAUUGGCAUCCGUUUAAAGUUGUUACUAUCGAUGGGGAUUCCCAGGAGAAUAUUGAUGAGGACGAUGAGAAACUGAAAGGUCUCAAGCAGGAAUGGGGUGAUGAGAUAUACAAUGCCGUUGUUACUGCCCUUAAAGAAAUGAAUGAAUAUAAUCCAAGUGGUCGUUAUUCUGUACCUGAGCUUUGGAACUUUAAGGAAGACAGGAAAGCUACUUUGAAGGAGGUCAUCAACUAUAUUGUUAAGAGCAUCAAGUCACUGAAACGAAAGAGAACAUGAGAAGAUCCGAGAAGGGGAAGAGAACAUGAGUGGAAGGCCCUGUUGCUUGUAACUUGUCCAGUGGGACCUUUUCCUAUGGUAAAUGGAGCAAGCAAUUCCAACCUGGGAAGCAAAUGCAUCAUGCUGGCUUUUGUUUGUAGUAUUUAGUCCAAAGCUUUCUCAAAGUAGAUGGCAGUAGGCUACCUGCUUGUAAUCAUAACGUUCCAACUCUCUCUGCAAUGAGCACCUCCACCAGCUUUACAUUGAAGGAGUUCGUUUGUCCAAAUAACAUAGAUUAUCUUAGUAUUGUUGGUUUUGAGAAGUGGUCGAGGACAUAUUCACGUAGAAGAAGGUAUAGAAUGAUGACAUCAAAUUGUGCAGAAAGUGUAAAUUCAGUGUUUAAAGAUCUUAGAGAACUACUUGUGGCUAUGAUGCUUAGUUCAAUAAGGAUGUAUUGCAAAAGUGGUUUUAUGAACGGAGUAAAGCUGUUUCUACAAUGAAGAGUCGUUUGACUUCUUAGGUUGAGAACGUUCUGCGUUUAGAACAUGAAAAGUCCAGAAGAUUAUUGGUAAGUUUUUUUUAUCUCGAACAGUUAGAGAUAAACUGCUAUCUUUGUCUAUCCGAAAGAUAAACAUAGCAAUGUAUCUGUUUCUGUCUCAGAUAGACGUAGAUAGAUUGCUAUAUGUAUAUAUCUGAUGUAUAUAGAGAUUGAAAUCUAUUUCUACAUGUUUAUUAUUUUCUUAAUUUUCGUUA